AAGACCUUGCGCUUUUGGAGCGGCCGAUGUCUGAUUAGCUUGUUGGUAAGGUAAAAGCUUACCACGGCUUCGAUCAGUAGCUGGUCUGAGAGGACGACCAGCCACACUGGGACUGAGACACGGCCCAGACUCCUACGGGAGGCAGCAGUGGGGAAUUUUGGACAAUGGGGGCAACCCUGAUCCAGCCAUGCCGCGUGAGUGAAGAAGGCCUUCGGGUUGUAAAGCUCUUUCAGCCGGAACGAAACGGUUACGGUUAAUACCCGUGACUACUGACGGUACCGGAAGAAGAAGCACCGGCUAACUACGUGCCAGCAGCCGCGGUAAUACGUAGGGUGCAAGCGUUAAUCGGAAUUACUGGGCGUAAAGCGUGCGCAGGUGGUUUUGUAAGUCAGAUGUGAAAUCCCCGGGCUUAACCUGGGAACU
rnacentral:rRNA from 1 species